AUCUGGCCUCCUUCGGGGGUCCGAGUUGUAAUUUGUAGAGGAUGCUUCGGGUGUGGCCGCCGUCUAAGUUCCUUGGAACAGGACGUCAGAGAGGGUGAGAAUCCCGUCUUGGGCGGCUGGUCCGCGCCCGUGUGAAGCUCCUUCGACGAGUCGAGUUGUUUGGGAAUGCAGCUCUAAGCGGGUGGUAAAUUUCAUCUAAAGCUAAAUACUGGUCGGAGACCGAUAGCGCACAAGUAGAGUGAUCGAAAGGUUAAAAGCACCUUGAAAAGGGAGUUAAACAGCACGUGAAAUUGUUGAAAGGGAAGCGCUUGCGGCCAGACUCGGGGGCGGGGUUCAGCGGGUGCUCGUCGCCCGUGCACUCCCCGUCUCCCGGGCCAGCAUCAGUUUCGACGGCCGGUCAAAGGCCCCCGGAAUGUGUCGUCUCUCGGGACGUCUUAUAGCCGGGGGUGCAAUGCGGCCCGUUGGGACUGAGGAACGCGCUCCGGCUCGGAUGCUGGCGUAAUGGCCGUAAGCGGCCCGUCUUGAAACACGGACCAAGGAGUCUAACAUCCACGCGAGUGUUCGGGUGUCAAACCCGUGCGCGCAGUGAAAGCGAACGGAGGUGGGAGCCUUAGGGCGCACCAUCGACCGAUCCUGAAGUCUUCGGAUGGAUUUGAGUAGGAGCGUGGCCGUUGGGACCCGAAAGAUGGUGAACUAUGCCUGAAUAGGGUGAAGCCAGAGGAAACUCUGGUGGAGGCUCGCAGCGGUUCUGACGUGCAAAUCGAUCGUCAAAUUUGGGCAUAGGGGCGAAAGACUAAUCGAACC
rnacentral:rRNA from 1 species